ensembl:misc_RNA 7SK 7SK RNA
GGAUGUGAGGGCCAUCUGGUUGCGAUAUCUGUCACCCUAUUGAUCACCAGGGCUGAUUCGGCUGAUCUGGCUGACUAGGCAGGUGUCUCUUCCUCCCUCACCGUGCCAUGUGUGUCCCUCCUGAAGCUGCAUGCUUGGUCAAAUAGGACGACCUUCCCUGAAUAGAGGAGGACAGGUCUUUGGUCAAUAUGAGGAGCUGUGCUCCCCUGCUAAAACCUCCAAACAACCUCUCAAGAAUUAGCUAGUAACAAGUUAUUGGUCAAGCAUUUAUAAUUAAUACUAAAUCUCCAUGUUGGUUAUUUGG